rnacentral:rRNA from 1 species
GGACCUCGGAUCAGGUAGGGAUACCCGCUGAACUUCAGCAUAUCAAUAAGCGGAGGA